UGCAAAGGAAACUUGUUGUUAAGGGUGU
rnacentral:piRNA from 1 species